rnacentral:tRNA from 1 species
GGUAUAGCUCAGUUGGUAGAGUGCUUGUCUUGCAAGUCCAAGGCCCUGGGUUCAAUCCCCAGCACCA